rnacentral:rRNA from 1 species
AUUGAACGCUGGCGGCAGGCCUAACACAUGCAAGUCGAGCGGAUGAAGGGAGCUUGCUCCUGGAUUCAGCGGCGGACGGGUGAGUAAUGCCUAGGAAUCUGCCUGGUAGUGGGGGAUAACGUCCGGAAACGGGCGCUAAUACCGCAUACGUCCUGAGGGAGAAAGUGGGGGAUCUUCGGACCUCACGCUAUCAGAUGAGCCUAGGUCGGAUUAGCUAGUUGGUGGGCUAAAGGCCUACCAAGGCGACGAUCCGUAACUGGUCUGAGAGGAUGAUCAAUCACACUAGAACUGAGACACGGUCCAGACUCCUACGGGAGGCAGAAGUGGGGAAUAUUGGACAAUGGGCGAAAGCCUGAUCCAGCCAUGCCGCGUGUGUGAAGAAGGUCUUCGGAUUGUAAAGCACUUUAAGUUGGGAGGAAGGGCAGUAAGUUAAUACCUUGCUGUUUUGACGUUACCAACAGAAUAAGCACCGGCUAACUUCGUG